UACAGAGGUCUCAAGCGUUGUCCGGAAUCAUUGGGCGUAAAGCGCGUGUAGGCGGUCCGGUAAGUCCGCUGUGAAAGUCGGGGGCUCAACCCUCGAAUGCCGGUGGAUACUGUCGGGCUAGAGUGCGGAAGAGGCAAGUGGAAUUCCUGGUGUAGCGGUGGAAUGCGCAGAUAUCAGGAGGAACACCCAUAGCGAAGGCAGCUUGCUGGGACGUUACUGACGCUAAGGCGCGAAAGCGUGGGGAGCGAACAGG
rnacentral:rRNA from 1 species